GUAGGUGGCAAGCGUUGUCCGGAAUUAUUGGGCGUAAAGCGCGCGCAGGCGGGUUCUUUAAGUCUGAUGUGAAAGCCCACGGGCUCAACCGUGGAGGGUCAUUGGAAACUGGAGAACUUGAGUACAGAAGAGGAAAGCGGAAUUCCACGUGUAGCGGUGAAAUGCGUAGAGAUGUGGAGGAACACCAGUGGCGAAGGCGGCUUUCUGGUCUGUAACUGACGCUGAGGCGCGAAAGCGUGGGGAGCAAACAGGAUUAGAUACCCUGGUAGUCCACGCCGUAAACGAUGAGUGCUAAGUGUUAGGGGGUUUCCGCCCCUUAGUGCUGCAGCUAACGCAUUAAGCACUCCGCCUGGGGGGUACGGCCGCAAAGGCUG
rnacentral:rRNA from 1 species